rnacentral:tRNA from 1 species
GCCGAAGUGGCGGAACAGGCAGACGCGCACGACUCAAACUCGUGUGGGGUAAUUCCCGUGUGGGUUCGAUUCCCACCUUCGGCACCA